UCCAUGGUUAAUCCACAUCAGCUUUGGCGGUUAAUACUGAAUUUUUGAUCAUUUCACCCUCCCAGCUUCUCAUGUUGUUGCAGUUACGCAUUGUUCAUCAUUGUGUGCCUAUCCACGUUCCAAACAGUUUGCACACAUAAAUGGCCUCAUGUAAUGGUUACCAAACUUCAAUUCCAACCCUUCUGCUUCCUCACCUUUUCCAAUUCUUUUCAAUUUUACGGCUCCUCCUUCAACCUUCAUCAAACCACAUAGCAAAAUAACACCUUCCUGAGAAUGAGAAAACAGAGAUAACAAAAAAAUCGUGAGAGAGUUUGCGAAGAAACCUCAACUAAGAAAUCUGUUGUUGUUGAUGUGAACAGAUUGAACCGUUCCAGAUCGCUUAUCAUCGUCUCCGACCGUCCUCAUUAAGCAACACGAAACGAUGAGAAUUCCGGAAACAAAAACUCAGAGUGACUGGAUAAUUCUUCAAGUAGAACAACCGCUUUGAUAAAAGUUUGAAAUUUAAACGUUAAAGAUUUAAGAAUGAAUGGUGUUCUUGAAGAUUGUUGAGAACUGAGAUGGAGAUGAAGUUUGAGGCUUUGUUCCUUCUUCCUCUGCAUCUUCAUACAAAAUUGUUUCUUCUUCUUAUCGAUUUUUUUUCAAUUCUUUUGGAUUACUUACGUAAUUGAUUUCCUGUUCACGGCUGUGUUGCUUGAGGUUCAUCGACGAUGGAUGACUUCACGUUAUGGUGUAUGCGGCUGUGUCGAUCUUUGCCGGAAGGGUGAUGCUCGCGGUGAUUGGUUUUGCUUUCUGAUGAUCCUUCAUAGUGGUCGGGUUUGAUUAAACGUUGUUGUGUUGUUGAGUCGGUAUGUGCGACCACAAAGUUUUUAGGGAGUGGAGUUUGACUGAGAUAUCUGUGGAGUGAGAGAGGACUGAGGUUAGAGAGAAAUCAGGGAUUGGAGGUGGACUCAGAAGUUGAGGGAAUCGUGGGAUUGAGGAGGCUCAAAGUUCCUAUUUUCCAGGCUUUUCAAAUGUGAAUCAUGGGGCUGUGAUUCAAAUCUUACUGAUGUACAUUUUUUUGUUUUCAAUUGGUUCUCGAUGUCAACACAGAAGGUUGAUCUCAAUUGAAUUUUUUUUACUUGCAGGAUAACAUAUUGUCAAUGGAUGAAUGAACUCCAACUUCUCUUCAUGACAGUGUCCUUCCUUUCUAUAAUCUUCAAGAACGGCAUGUUGUACAUGAGAUGCAGUGGUCCAGAUUUACUUGGAUAAUACUGGUGAUCUGGAACUUAUUGGAAAAAGCCUUGAAUCUUCUGACCUCAACUUCUCAAGAUAAGGCUUCAAAUGGCUAGGUAUACGGUGGAAAGAUUACCCCAAUACAAAGAGGAGAAGUUUGGGCAUCGAAUUUUGGAGCCAAAGCAAGCUUUCUUUUUCAUUGGGCUUCUAAUUUCUUCGUCUUCUCUCUCUUUCAUGUUUGAUUUUGAUUUAGUUUUCAAAGUUCCAGGUUUCAUGGUGUUGGCUCACGCAAAAGAGGAAAGAUCCAUCACCGAUGCAGUUUCUGAUGAUGCGACGGUGUUUUUUAUUACUUUGUAUGAUUUGUUAAAUUCUGUUUGGAUAAGUUGUGACCUGAUUUUUAUGUGGGUUUAUGCAGGUUCGAUGAUGAAGCACAAGUUUGCUUGGCCAUAAAAAAGAAAGGAUGGCAAUGACAGAGAUUGAUCGGUUCUUUGUAGUAUGGUUUGAAUUUGGGGUGUUAAAUGUUGCUGGUAUUGGAAUUGAAAUAAGGGGAUGCUAGAUUAGCAAUGUUAGUUUGAAUGAUUAUAUUGCAGAAUUGGUGGGAUGAUGUCUCUUGGGAUAUCAAAGCUGUAAAUUUGAGAACAUUAGGAAGAGUGGCUCUCAUUAUUACAACUUUAUCUGAAACAGUGUUGCCGUUCAAUACUAUUCUGAAUCAUGACGCUGAUUAUGCUCCUCCUGUUGCUUCUCAUGAUACCAUUCGAAUUGAUGCGGAAAUGGAGAUACCUCUUUUGAGUCUUUCGUCAUAUGAGGAGAAGCUGGCUAAAGUGGCACAACAGUGGCAGAAUACUAUUACUGGUGUGGGUCAAAGGUUUAGCAGUCUACAUGAGUUUCGAGAGACGUUGUGUAAAUAUGCUAUUGCUCAUCAAUUUGCAUUCAAAUAUAAAAAGAGCGAUAGUCAUCGUGUGACUGUUAAAUGCAAAGCAGAAAGUUUGCUAUGUGUUAAAAGCAUUAGUAGGUUAUUUUACAGGGACUAAGCACAUUUAACCUUAUUAAAAAUGUGAAAUGACUUGAUAUCUGUGUUCUGGCAUUUUAACAGAUUGGGAAAGGAAGGAUACUAAUUGAAGGUGAAAGAGUACCCUCUUGGCCUAUGGAACAACCGUUCAGAACUAUUUAGCAGCAGCUUCUCUUGGGAUUUAUUUAUAGUUUUAUAAUCUUUUGUUGUCUAUGUUUUUGGAUUUGCCCAAAUAUUUGAAAAAAUGACUUGAAGUUGCAGCCUAAAAUAUCAGUUUUUUAUCUACUGAUGAUAAUAUGGAACAUUGAUAUUAACGUGUGACCCAAACUUUGCUUUUUCUUUACUUCCUACUAUUGAUUAUAUGCCUAACUAGCAACUUCAUAAUUUUGUUAUUCAGGUUGAUGCCAAGAGCUAAAAUGGUAAGCAAGUAGAGGUAAAGUGUGCACGUCCAAAGGAUGCCAAUCCUGGUGCAAGUAGUCGAAUGAUGGGUGGUGCUGGAAUCGUGGUGCAGAAUUGCUAAGCAAAAGAAAUUGAGAAGGAGAACUACUGCAUUUUGGAAUCUCAAAUUCAAAUGCUAUUAGGUCGUAUCAGAAUCCAGAGUUUCCUCAAAUUGCAGAGGAGAAAAUCUUAGGCAUUGGUGCCAACAAUAAACAGCCUGUUCUGAAAUGGGAGAAUAAUAUGGCAUGGCCUGGAAAACUCAUUCUUACUGAUAAAGCCAUCUAUUUUGAGGCAGUUGGCUUACUGGUAAUUAAGAGAGCCAUGAGAUUGGAUGUUACAUAUGAUGGAUUGAAGCUACCUUAUCGGCUGUGACAACGAACUUGGAAAAUUACAUACUAGCCAUCCUGAGGCCCGUGACAAAGUUGGUGGCAUGAGCAUUAUGCAUAUAGACGGUCUCCGAAAAUUCACGAUGCUAUGGCUGCAUAAGACGGAGGAGGUUCGAGCUGAUAGAACUCAUUAUGCAAGAAAUAUAACAGGAGACAUAUAUUAGUCCGGGUGGAUCAGUGAGAUGUAUGGUUACUCAUUUGGUGCGGCUGAGAUGAAACUAAAGCACAUUAUAAGCAGUGAGAUACUGAUACACCCGGGAUAUGUUCCCGUGCUGAACGUCAAAUAUCGAGCUUUUCAAUAUGGAUUGCUAUUCAGUGUCAGGAAUUGGAACUUCGACAAAGCAGGCUGAAUAGGUCAUGUAACAUGUUCCAUCUAUGGUAAUCUACAUAACUGACGUGUCUCAUAUUGAUUACAAUUUACAACCACUUAUUUUAUUUGAAGUAGUCUCAUAUAUUGAUUACAAUCACUUAUUUUACUUGAUGCAAUGAAGUCCUGUGUAGAUAGCUUCUACAUAAGGUGAAGUUAUGGAACUAGGAAUCUGGAAAGAUUUUCCUGAUGAUUUAUUUGAGGCGGUAAUUGCACAGCUUGCUAUUGCCACUUUUUACGUUUUUGUUCUGUAUGCCGUCAAUGAAGUUCUUUGCUGGCUUCUCAAAGCUUUUCUCAGCAUUGUGCCCAAGUCCCAUAAGAAAAUUCGUGGUUUUACACCAUAACGCAUGAAAAUGUGAAUUCAGGAGCCAUGUAUGACCCUUCUUUGAAAAAGUGGCAUCAUCCUUCUAUAUCAGCAAUGCCCACAAAGUUGAUUGUUUUGCCAGCUCGGUUAGUAAGGGUCUGGUCUGGCGUUGUUGUAGGGAUGAUCUAUUAGCUCCCAUAAGAAUAACAGUGAGAAAUAUUUGUUGCAUAAAACUAUUUCAUGAUAAAAUGAUAGUGUACUGUAAAAGUAUAUUUGUAGAAGCGUAUAUGAUUAAACUCAAUUUUAUUUUUGACAUUCAACUA